rnacentral:lncRNA from 1 species
CAUGUAGUAUUUGUCCGUGAAGUGUUUUUGGCGCGCCCCAAGCCGAGCAGCACUAGCGCUAGAAGUGAUGAACCCGGAAAGCUCCUCGGAGUCGGUCCUUUUUCGAAAAAACCAUGUUAGGUUAAGUCUAGCUCAUUUGUACCGGUACUACAAUUAAAAUAAUUUAUCUGAUUUAUAAUCUGAUAAUCUAGAAAUAACCGUAAUUUUCAGUGUUUUAUUGUCAGUAUCAUACUUUCCCUCAGUUGUCAACGCCGGGAUCAAGUGGAUGUUGUCGGUGUUAUCAGCUCAUACAGCCUAUUCUUGGAAACCACAAAAACCUUGUUUUCAAUCGUUCUUUAUCAGGAGGAGUCUAGCACAAUCAUGAAAUUGUACCCCACAGAAGAAGAAACUUCGGAAAGUCGAAGGAAUGAAGUUCCUAGAGUUCCAUCUGCUAAUCAGAGUGUGGAUAGCCUUCAGACACGUCAAUUUGUCCACAGUUUUGGAGAACUGGAUCUGACUGAAGAAAACAUGGACUUCCUCUUCCUUAUUGUAUAUGAUCAGUCCUAUAGAAGGCAUUAUGUUCCUGAAUUUGUUUCGCGAAGCAACGAUACGAUGGUCGUCUUGUGCGAUUUUUUCAACUGCGGUGGAACAACAGGCACGGAUGAAUGGUUUUGUUACGGCAUACCAGGCAAAGAAAUAUCCCUUAAAGACUUUAAAAAUUAUGCUUCUCUCAUUGAAGAAUCAUGCCGGUACUACUUUCUCAUAGAAGUAAAGCAUGCGCCGAAAGGAAGCAACAUCUGUUUCAAGGAAUUAAAGGAUGAUAAUGAAUUAGUGCCUUUUUGUAGGAACACAAUAAUUGCAAUUGUGAAGCCAGAAUGAAGGCUGCAUACGCCCUAAUGCCGGUGAAUUUCAACAAAUUCAACAGGAACUUGUGGUCAGAUAAUUGUUGGAAGGAGAAUCCUAAAGUUUUCUCUCAUCAUCAAUGGUUUUUAUUUUCUUUUUUGCCCCGUCAUUUUUCUAAAACUUUUUAUGCUUGAAUGUUCUUGGUUUAUUUCACGACUGUUAGCGUUUAAAUGAAAGGUAUUGAGUCAAAUUUGGUAGCUAAAAGGUUUUUUUCUUUUUCAGAACUCCUCGUUUUUCUUUUUUUUAAUUUCUAUUUAUUAUUUACUGUACAUUUGUACAUCUGUAUAAAUAAUUUAGUUUUCCACUUUUCUGAUUUUAAUUGUUGCUAAGGUAAAGAGGAAGAAGAAAAAUGUUUUACUCCACAAUUUGAGCCGUGUUUUGUACAUUAAUUUCGUGAUACUUUUUAUAUCUAGACUCAUUCUUGUUUUUAAUUAAACGGUUCUUUUGAUCGUAACCUGUCGUUCUUUCUUCUGUUUCUCACACUUGAGCAUGAUGUCUUAAGAUUUCAACCAUGCUCAUUCCCCGAUCAGGGUGUCUACUUAGCAUCGGUCAGUUGGGAGCUCCAAUGAACUCGUGGAGCAUUUUAGACCAGAAAACUGCAUCCAGUGGGUCAUUUCUAAUUGGACCAGCUUCAUCGCAGCCUGAUCAGAGAACUUUCGAUUUUAACACCGAAAAAUUUAGUCCGUGUGGCCUGUGUCGAUUUUUCUCGAUUUUGGGCAGGAAACAACUUUUGAGAUUUGCGUUGAAUUCUGUGUAGUUUGAGGCGCAGAAUCAAUUGCUCCCAGUCCUGAGACCUGCCGGAGCAUCCUAAGCCAAGAAACGAGUGUUUCUGAUGAAGCAUUUUAUUCUUGUUUUUCGCUGAUUGAGUGAACCAGCAGAGUCGUGGAGCUUUUUAGAACUCUUCUGACCUUUUUUUCA